rnacentral:tRNA from 1 species
UGGUUCAGUAAAGAAGAGCGCUUGCCUGGCAUGCAGGAGGCCCUGGGUUCAAUCCCCAG